GCAUAUGACCAAGUUACCCAACAUGCCCUCAAUCUCUUCAGAUCUCAGAAGCUAAGCAGAGUUUAGCUUGAAUAGUGCGUGGCUAGGUGACCACCUUGCAUAACAAAUGUUAUAGGCC
rnacentral:rRNA from 1 species